UGCCCCUCUUGGUGCCCCUCUGCCUCCCAGAAUGCCUAGCAGUGGGAGUACUCCAUGGUCCAGGAUAGUCCUUUCUUUCCCUUCAAACUUCCCCAAAGUGUUCUGAGCUGCUUUUCUCUCAGGACCAACACUGCUCCAGAGAUUUAACUUCUUAGAAAAGGCGGGGGGGGGGGGGGGGUGUGCUUCUGUUGACCUGCAGGAGCCAUUUCCAGGGUAUGGUUUUAGGUAGUGUGGCCUAGGGUCAUAAAGGAGCUAUUUCUGCUCAGGAGAGUUAGGCUUCUCAGGACCCUGCAGGGUGAGAGCCUGCUUGCUAGGACAGAGGGAACAUUUUCCAGAAUUAGGAGAACUGGAGUACGUGUACUUUCCGUUGCUUGUGUGGUAAAUAUCACAGACGGGGCCUGCCUGAGCCUUUCCCAUGGUCCCUGCACUGAGCUAUGGGUGCAUGGCCUGCAUGGACCACACCCCAACACCACCCACAUGGCUUUGGGGCUGUGUGGCUGCUGCUCAACCCAACUUUAUAAGCAAGGCCUUGGGUUUUUCCCUAAUACCUUUUCACUAAGAAGGCAACUUAGACACGAAGGCAAGUUAUCUUUUAGAGACUAAAGGAAUCUAAGCCUUGCGCUUAAAAACUGUCUUUCUUCUCUUGCUGGCCACAUCUUUUAUCCCAUGCUUGGCUUGAAUAGGAGUCCGUUAGUUUCUUUAUUGCUCCCCACUGACAUCAUCGCUGACCACCCCUGAGGUACCUUAAUCCUAGUUGUGGAUUGGGAGACACUUCCUUGGAGUCUUUUGAGAGCCAGCAUCAGAACCAGAUGCCGCUUGGAUACGUCUGUCUCUCUCCCUGGGGACAGAAGAAAAAGCCAGAGUUCAAUUCUGCAGACUCAAUGGCUGCUCAGUCUUCUCUGCCUUUCUUUUUCCUCAUACCAUGGCUGUGUGGCAGGGACAUGCUGCUUUUAGAGAGCCUGCCGCUUGUGUGCCCUCUUCUUGGUAGAAUUGAUUUAAAUUUACAUCCAGUAGGAUAGUGGUUUGCCUGUUAACAGGAAAUGGAAUCUGAUCUUGCCUCAGAGGCGGGAAGUUUAGAUGGUGAUUGCAGGAGAGUCUGUCCUUCCAUCACAAGGCUGGGGAGAGAGGCAAAAGCACAGUGGGUGGGAGCUAGGGGAGGAGCCUAGUGUCCAUUCUUGCCUUCUGAGCCUCUGGUGUCUGAUAGCACUGUCUUAGCCUUGUUCUGUUCUCCUUCCCUGUUGUAAACCAGGAUCAAAAGGAGCCAACAAACCUAUUAAGGCCAACCAGUCCCCACCCCCACCAUCAAAGCACCCAGGGCUCCAGCUUCAUAGGCAUGAGGGUGACACCCUGCUGACAGAAUCCAGUAGGCAGGAAUGUGUUUGUGGUUUAGAAGUUAACACAUUGAUCAUAAAGAGUAUAAAAAAUGGAUUAACAGAAAAUACCUGAUCCAGUAGCAGCUGCUGUUUACCCCGUGCCGAGCCUGUUUCUUGUUUUCUCCUUACCUCGAAGACUAAAAUAAAUGGUUUAAAUGUCCUCAUCGAAAAACCUAGACAUGUCCC
rnacentral:lncRNA from 1 species